rnacentral:rRNA from 1 species
UACAGAGGGGGCAAGCGUUAUUCGGAAUUACUGGGCGUAAAGGGCGCGUAGGCGGGAUGGCAAGUCGGUCGUGAAAUCCUUCGGCUCAACCGAAGAACGUCGAUCGAUACUGCUGUUCUUGAGGGUUGCAGAGGAGACUGGAAUUCCCGGUGUAGCGGUGAAAUGUGUAGAGAUCGGGAGGAACACCGGUGGCGAAGGCGGGUCUCUGGGCAAUUCCUGACGCUGAGGCGCGAAAGCGUGGGGAGCAAACGGG